rnacentral:rRNA from 2 species
AUUGCCCUAGUAACGGCGAGUGAAGCGGCAAAAGCUCAGAUUUGAAAUCUGUCGCCAUUUUGGCGUCCGAGUUGUAGUCUGUAGAGGUGUAUUCGAGUGUGGCUUUGGCUUAAGUUCCUUGGAACAGGGCGUCAUAGAGGGUGAGAACCCCGUCAACGGCCUUUGUCUUAUGCUCAUGUGAAUCUCCUUCAACGAGUCGAGUUGUUUGGGAAUGCAGCUCUAAAUGGGUGGUAAAUUCCAUCUAAAGCUAAAUACUGGCAAGAGACCGAUAGCGCACAAGUAGAGUGAUCGAAAGAUGAAAAGAACUCUGAACAGAGAGUUAAAUAGUACGUGAAAUUGUUGAAAGGGAAGCACUUCCGACCAGACGCACUUGCAGCCGAUCAAUCUUCAUUCUUGGAGGUGCACUCGGUUGUUUGUGGGUCAGCAUCAGUUAUGGCGGUGGGAAAAAGACUGAGGGAAUGUGGCUCCUUUAGGGGAGUGUUAUAGCCUUUGGUGCAAUGCUGCCUGCCGUGACUGAGGACCGCGCUU